rnacentral:rRNA from 1 species
ACCCUUUGUGACAUACCUAUAACUGUUGCUUCGGCGGGUAGGGUCUCCGUGACCCUCCCGGCCUCCCGCCCCCCCGGGCGGGUCGGCGCCCGCCGGAGGAUAACCAAACUCUGAUUUAACGACGUUUCUUCUGAGUGGUACAAGCAAAUAAUCAAAACUUUUAACAACGGAUCUCUUGGUUCUGGCAUCGAUGAAGAACGCAGCGAAAUGCGAUAAGUAAUGUGAAUUGCAGAAUUCAGUGAAUCAUCGAAUCUUUGAACGCACAUUGCGCCCGCCAGCAUUCUGGCGGGCAUGCCUGUUCGAGCGUCAUUUCAACCCUCAAGCUCUGCUUGGUGUUGGGGCCCUACAGCCGAUGUAGGCCCUCAAAGGUAGUGGCGGACCCUCCCGGAGCCUCCUUUGCGUAGUAACUUUACGUCUCGCACUGGGAUCCGGAGGGACUCUUGCCGUAAAACCCCCCAAUUUUCCAAAGGUUGACCUCGGAUCAGGUAGGAAUACCCGCUGAACUUAAGCA